AUGUUUGGCACUCCCUUGUGUCCCGACAACAUUUGGCAAGCUUAUGCAUGGUGUUAUGCGUUCUUCCCUGGUGGGGAAAAAUUUUAUACAGCAGGGAUUGCUGCUGUAUGCUGGGCGAUCUGGUCCUGUCGUAAUAGAGCUACCUUUGAAUUUAAACCGCUUACAAACCUGUUUGAAUGUAUUUUUUCUGCUUGUGCCUUAAUAUGCUACUGGGCAGGACUGCUGAAGCAAGAUGAAGCGGCUACCAUGAGGGGCAGGGCAGAGAUGCUGAAAGAAAACGCGUCGAUGGUGAUGACAAUCUGCGCGGCGAACCAAGAUGAGGCGGCGUGUUGA
rnacentral:rRNA from 1 species